GAUGAGGCGCUCCUGAGCAGCUUCAAGAAUAAGAUGACACCGCACAGCCUGAACCUGUCACCCAAGUCCCCGACGCCGCCCAAACGGAGGUUGGGAUCCAAGGAGAACUGCUCGCCUAAUGUUGGACUCUCAUACGAGAACAGGAUAGAAUCAAGAGACUUCUCACUCACCCCGAAACCUUUCAAAAGCCAACACACAUAUGAGAACCAAAAGUCACCAUUCAAUCCCACACCAAGAAAAGCUCUCGAAGAACUCCAGAACUCCCAGUUCAAUCCGACACCAAGAAAAGUUCUCGGCGAACUCCAGAACUUCUCACCAACAUC